GGUUAGAUUUGCACAGUCUACUGGGUAGGUAUUGUAAAUAAUGAUUUUUUUUCCUCCAAACUUGCACAAAUUCAAAAAAAAAAAAAAAACCAGACACAAACAAAAAAAUUGUAUUUUAUCCUGUUGGUGUUAAGAGGCGUCUCGCCUGCUGAGGCUCCCUGUCUGCUGCAAGCGAAUACAGAAUGCAAACCCUCAAAGCUGUUAUUAUCUGGUGUGUUUGUCCUGUACUUAACAAGUUGUUGUGACAAUGCAGGAGCCAUCAGUGCUAGAGUGAGCAUGCUUCAGAACUGUACAUGAGGCCGGUACAAUUUUGGAUGAGUAACUGCCUGAACGUACAUAUCUCGUGGCGGGCUAUUAAGACAGUGCCUGAGAACUAACCAGUCACUGGCAGACGUACACCAGCCACAGAGGACAGGUUCCAAGUUUAUGAAACCUAAGGUCUAUGUCACGGUAGAGAUGAAGCUCUGUGCGCCUUUUAGGAGAUAUCAUUGGUGCUACCCUCUGUGACCACCUUUGGGUUGGUUUCCGUAGAGCAAAAUUAGCAAUGAGAGGUAUCUGGUGCAGAUUUCGGAAUGUCGCUAAGAAUCUAGGUCCUUUCACGGUGCUACUGCCCCGAGGGAUACCAGACUGAGCUGAGGCACACAGAAUUGUCACCCUGACUUUGGAACCUCAACUGUGGAUCAAACCUAUUGUGCACCAUCAAUCUAUGUAGCUGGAUGAGUGGACUAGUCGCCCUUGUAUGAUAUGUGAGCUAAAGGAAAUUGCUCAUCUUUCAUUUUUUUCGAGACACACAGUCCACACAUGAGCAUCAAGAGAACUUCCUGCAAUACAUCCCAGUAGGUACACCUAGUUUACAAUUUAAACUAGUUUGUGAAACAUUUGUCUGUAUACAUUUUAUAUUUUGUACAUUUUUUGAUGUAACAUAUCAUGUAAAUAGGAAGAAGCAGUGAAAAAAUCAUCCGAAAAGUUUUGUAGUCUUUGUAAAGCCCCAUACAAUAAGUAUUUGGUGUCAAUGGAUCUAACGGGAUGAUGUAUUUUCUAUUGGUUUAUUGUCCCCCUAGCUUGUAAACCAGCUUGCAUAUAUUUUUUUGCAAAUGUGCACCCUGUAUCUGUCUAAAUUAUUACCUUGCCAUUAAAGUGGAAUUAUUUAUUGACAACAAGGUGUGGUGUCUAUGUAUGGGGAAAUUUUGAAUAACUAUGUGCAGGGACAUGUCAAGCUAUACAAUGUUUCUUCACUAUUAACACACCAUCAUUAGGCAUCUGUGUCCAUCUAAAUUCCAUAAGCACCUGAGGAAGGAUUCCAAAGCUUUUAAGGAAAUAAAUUUAACUAAAUGCAGUACCUAUGUAGCUCCUAAAGUGAAAGUUAUUUAUUCAGUGAAUAUUUUUGAAAAUUCUGAAUGGUAUUCAAAUAUGCCUGAUAUCAAAACACAAAUUAAUAUAGAAAUAAAAUGUCAAUAUUCACUGAUUUAAAUC
rnacentral:lncRNA from 1 species